CAAUAGCGUAUAUUAAAGUUGUUGCAGUUAAAAAGCUCGUAGUUGGAUUUCUGGUUGGAGCGACCGGUCGGGCAUUGAUUUGUCUGCACUGGAGUCGGUUCUGGCCAUCCUCUUGGAAAGUGCGUCUGUCAUUAAGUUGUCGGGCGUAUGAUCCAGGUCUUUUACUGUGAAAAAAUUAGAGUGUUUAAAGCAGGCCUUCGCCUUGAAUACAUUAGCAUGGAAUAAUAAGAUAGGACUUUGGUCUAUUUUGUUGGUUUGCAGACCGAAGUAAUGAUUAAUAGGGAUAGUUGGGGGUAUUUAUAUUCCAAUGCCAGAGGUGAAAUUCUUAGAUUUUUGGAAGAUAAACUUAUGCGAAAGCAUUUACCAAGGGUGUUUUCAUUAA
rnacentral:rRNA from 1 species